ACUAGAAUGUACAAUUUGUGGUGAGGACGGCAGAGUCGCCAAUCAACAGCCAUUAUAAAUAUGUAUAAUCUAUGGCUCAACUCUACUAACCACGAGUUUCGUGGUUGUGUCACAGAUCACGGGUUCUUAAUCUGUGGUUGUGUUUUAUUGCAUCGAAACGAACGGUAGAUGCAAUUCAUGUAGAAACGAAAUAGAGUGUAUGCGGCGUAACCUAAAUCAAUUUCGCAAUGACAGCUGUCAAGUGUCAACUAAUAAUAGAAAAACCAAAAUUUUAAGUCUACAAUCAAAGGCCAAACAGAAAUGCAACAUUUUCAUAAAUAAUUUAUUUCUUCCCCAUCUAGGCACAACUUCAAUGGAAUCAUACAUUAAUCUUUUCCUUAAGACGGAAAUAACAAUAUUACCAAGCCUUUUGGAUAAAUAUGUUGGAAAUUAUUAUAACAAUACAUUAUGUAAUGGUGCCACUUGGAUGUUUGCCUCUUGGUGCAUCUUGCAUGUCUUUUUCGACAAUUUUCUCAAUGCUUUAUUAAAACGUAUGAAGUACAAGGAGUUUAUCCGAGCCAGAUUGCAACAGUCUUUGUGGUAUCUAGGUUUUUAUACUACAGCUUUUAUUUAUUGUAGCGCCAACUUGAUUCGUAAUAACUUAGAUUUAGUUAAACUUAAGAUGCCUUUUGAUAGUACAAAUGCACCAUCAGGUCAAUUAAUUCUUGGGUUUAUUGUUGUGUUGACGUUUUACUUACAUAGUGCUUUGUGGGAAAGGCUCAAAUAUCGUCAUGGAUUUGUCGCAGCUGGCUAUUUAUGCUUGUUUUUCUUCUUCUGCUUUUCAUACUUCUUGAGAUUCAUUGAAGGGUGUUAUAGACUAACAAUUUUGAUUUGUUUGCAUCAAAUUGCUUUAGAGGUGGCACGGUGUGUUGCUAUUAUUACAAAAAGGGAUAAUUUUAGAGGGAAAAUUUUUACUGGCGUUUUUUUCACUCUAAGUCUGUCAAUUUUUGUAAUUAAUUAUGGCAUUGUUGUACCUCUUUCAUUUGGUUAUUCAUUAGUAAGGGGAUUUACUCCUGCUUUAACGAUUUCAUUAACCGUUCUCCUGACGUGGUUAUUAAUAGAAUUCUAUUCAUCAGCUCUAAGUAAAGCUGCGAUUCAUUGGAUAAAUCACACUGAAACAGACGACAAGCAAAACAUUUGUAAUUUAAACCUUGUUGAAUGUUCUUUAUUUUCGCCAAGAGACGAUGUCACUUAUAAUUUUCUUUUGAUGCGAAAAGAAAUGAAAGAUCGAGAGGAACGGUGUUUAGCUUUGCGGAAACCAAAAAAUAAGAAUGUGGUCUUUCAAACAUUGAAAUGUAUGGUUGCCAUAAAAAGAAAGUUAAAUGAGAAAAGAAAAGAGGCUGCAGGUUUGAGUGAAGUAGUUAAUGAAAACAAAAAAGAAGGGGAAACAGGUAUUCAAGAUGAACAUAAUGAAUCUGACAGUGAUAGUGAUGGAGAAGUUGUUGGCGGUAAACUGGAAUUUAAUAUCAAUUGUAAAAAUGAGUCUGAUCCUUGUAAAUGUAAACAAGAUUAAUAAUAAAAAAAUGUCUUAUUCUAGUGUAUACGACUUUCUUAGCAGAUGUGAAACGUUGGUUGUCAGAGCUCUAACCUUCGACCACAUAUUAUAUAGACUCGCCGUAAAGCGAGUUUGUAGCAGGGGGUGUUCACUCUUUAAAAAAAAAGCCGGGAGUAGGAAUGUUAGUUACUGGUAACAUCACCGAAACGCUGACAAGCAAUCAAGAGAGAUAAAAUAUAUUACCAUAGAAUAAGAGAGAGGGAGAAGCGAAUCUCUGUCCACCCCUCGUUUUAACCUUCGACCAUAUAUCAUAUAGACUGGGCAAGGUGAGAUUUGUUUUGAAGCCAACAUGUGCAGGUACCCCUUCUCUGAUUGGUCCAUUCAAAAUAUUUCCAAGUGUUUCGUUAAUAUUCGUCAAACUUCGUGCUUCACGAUUGUGAUUAAAGGGAAAAAUUGUGAAUUUUGGGCUUAAAUUUACUUGUGAAUGGGUAAAAUCUGGUUCUUGCGUCGAAAUAUACAGGAGAAAGUAUUCACAAGGGGUAUUCAUCGGUAAUGUCAUCCGUAAGUAAGAAAAUACAGGUGUUAACCUAAAUCUGGAAACACACCAGUGGCGUCGUAACGUAUUCUGAUUUUCCGCUUUGAUACUGAAUAUUUUUGAAUAUUACAACUCUGACGACAUGUCAUAAGAUAGAAUUAGAAGUAUUUUAACUAAGGCAUUUUUUUUGAAACUCGAAAACUUAAAUUAUUUCUGAAACUUGUAAUGUUUUUUCAAUUGUUUGCCCCUUGACUACGAGCUGCCAUUGAACAAGGAGUAAGCUUCCUCUUGCCCCUCACUCCUCGCACCCAUACAUGUUGGCUUCAAACAACCUGCCUACAAACUCGCUUUACGGCGAGUUUAUAUGAUAUAUGGUCGAAGGUUUUAACCGAAAGCGUUACCUAGCGGGUAGCAAACGAACUAACUCGACAAUAGCGCGAAUUUCAAAUAGGACGUUUUAUUUAUUUUCCAUAUUAUUUUAAGAGACUAUUAAUGUUAAAUGUUUUUGUAUGUAUGCACUGUUACGAGACAUUUUAAUUAAAAAACAUCUGCAACAGUUGCAAUAGCACAAAAACAUUUAACAUCACUUAAUAAAAUGAAAUAAAGUCCUUCCCAUCAAAAAUUUAUUAAAACAAAAAUACCGGCCUGGAUUGUAUAGACAAAGUUAAUUCAACUCGUAUUGUUCUUCAUGAACAUACUCAUAUGUAGUAAUGUAAGUACAAUGACCAAAUAUAAAUCCACCAUUCAUUCAAAGUUUUCAUUAUUUUUCUUCACACUGUUCAGAAAAGCAAAACAGUUAGAAUUUUGAUAAUCACGUUACGAAAUAAACGUUGAAACCACAUUACAGUCUGAAAAUUGAGAGUUGAGCGGUCUAACGGUCUAGCUAAUACGGACUGUUUAUAAAAGAGUGUAGGGUCUCAGGUGGUUCUGGAAUUUGAAUUUGCCACAUUAAAUUAUUUUAUUUCUAUGAAAUUUCUGAAAAGUACCAAUUUUUAUCUACUCAGACAACCAGGAAAACAAAAUUUUUCAUAUAGUAACAUUGCGGCAAACUUUUAAUACUUACUACGAUCCUACAUUCAUUUAUAGACAGAUUCAAUGGAAGAUCUAAUCAUUAAAUAAAUAAUUCGGUAAAAUGAGACGUUGGUAUUUUUAUAGUGUUGAAACGGCAAAUAAAAGUGAUAGUUAUUUGAUAAACAACCAUUUUUGAACACAUUGUAUAACCAAAAGGUAACUGAUUACAACUACCAUGUAAUCAUUUGAAUUUAUAAUUAGAGUAGGCUUUAAUAUUGUUUGUCUUGUAUGAAAAGUUUUAUGAUUGGAAAUAGCUUAGCAAUCACAAAAAACCUCCUACUCUUAAAAUUGCUAAUUUAUAAUUGUGUUUUUCUUACAAUAUUAUAACAUAAAAUCCACAGAGCAUUAAAUCAUUUCAAAUAAUUUUACGCAGCCAAAACGUAUAAUAUGUACGUAUACGUAUUCGUAUACGUAUUGUCACAAAGGGGGUCAACCUCCUGGUAUUCCGUAAUUAGUUAAGUUUCGACAGGUCGGUUUUGCUGAUGGUAAAUUCCAUAAAGAAUGGUGACCGCCGUUUUUAGAAAAGUCAGCUUAUCGAAGCUCAAUAAAACUGACGGAAUACGAGGAGCGGGGGGAAGUCGGAUUAAGGUUUUUACUAGAGUAACUUCGGGGUGUCCAGGGAUUUUCGAUUAACUGUUUCGGAGUUCUCUAAUGAUAUAAAAGUUGAUAUUACAGGUAAUCUAAAUAAUAUAAUUAUUUUAACAGUCAAAAAAGCUGCCCCUGACGUAACCUCAAACAAGGAACUGGAAAUGAAUUUCACAUAAAACUAUGAUUCAACGUAGUUCACCAACAAAAUAAAAGAAAACAGUGCCAUAGGACUGAGAAUUUUACAACAGUGUGACGAAGGCUUAUUGUGGCUGUUUUUCAAUUCAAAGUUCGACUCACGACUUUGAUAUCAUACUACAAAGAUUGAAGCUGUAUCGAAGAAUACUUUUAACGAUUGACAUUUAUUAGUUAGAAAAGAGAUGCAAAUAGCGUUUUAAUGUGCUAGAGAGUGAGGGAGAGUUGUACCAUUGUCUUUGAUAUAUCGUAACCAGCGUUUUUGUGGACGCCGCAUCUCCCCUCUCUAAUAUCUUUGAUUUCUUUACGCCUGACGCGACCUCCAGCGCGUAGCAAUUGAACUAUUUUAGCCGAUUCCCCCUUUGCCCCACCCCUGCCAGUAAACCCAUAAUUUGUGUAGAGAUUCAGGGGCCUGUAUAUUACUGUCUCAAUCAUUUAAAUUGUUGUUUGCGCAUGCAUCUCCAAGGGUUCACACUUGAGUACUGUUAAAAUGGUGUGUCUCUGGUUGUGAUGGGACACAAAAUCAAUGAAACUACUAAAUUUGUCGCAACCCUUCGAUACUUCAUUGCAUCUUCAGGCGCAGAAUUUGUGUCUGUUGAACACAUGCGUCACGCACGUGGAUGAACAAAAGCACCAUUUUACAACAGACACACCAAACUUCGAGUUUUACAAGACCCUUUUCAAACUGAGGCUGAUCACCUUGUGGAAAUCCUCAGGUCAGGUCAGGUCAGGUCAGGUCAGAUCAGAUUGAAAUGCGACAUGUAAAACUCAAAGUUUCGUGUGACGUGUGUAAAACUGUGUUUUUGUUCAUCAAAUAUAUUUGAUAUUAGAAUUGAGUAGAUGACGAAUGGGGGGUAACACAACACAACCUUGACCUUGAGUUUGACACCGCCCAUUUUGCGUCUCUUUGUUUCAAGGCCACUCGUUCUCUCUCUUACUUUUUCAAGGCCAACCCCUCCCACUUCCCCACCACUUCAAGGCCAAGGCAUUAUUGGACCUUGAUGUUUUCAAGGCCAAGGUCAUUCAUGUUACUCGCCACUUUUGCAAGGCCAACAACUCCUCACUCAUUCAAGAUGAAUCGCGCAAUUGUCCUUACUCAUUUUCCACCCUAAACUGUAUAAAAGUUAAUGUGUUGAGUUGUGAAACACAGUUCUUGUGUAAAACAACAACAGCAAUUAUUCGAGAAAUGGAAGUUACAAGGAAGUGUUCGAUUUAUAAUACUCUUGAGGAUGUGAUAAUAUGUCCAUAUGACAAACACCACGUACUUCUCUGGUUUCGGCUCGAAAGACACAUUUGGAAGUGUCAUCGGGCCGAUAAGAAAAAAAAACAGGAAAGUUGGUAUAAAACUAUGAAAGAGGAAGAAGAAGAGGAAAACUGGGAUCAUUUUAAUGAGCCCAGCUACCUCGACUUCCUCAAAAGUAAAAAGAACCAUAAUGCCGUAAAUUAAAGAAGGCUGGGGCUCUUUCCUAGAAAAUAGUGUAUUAUAGUAAUAAAAGUUGUAAAAAAAAGGCUUUAAUGUACACCUGUUUCAACCUACUGAUACAAGCAAGUGUUACCUGCAAGCAGAGUCGCUCACUGUUUCAAGACAACUCAUUCCCUUUUUAUCUUUGAUGUUUUCAUCUCACUUUUUCAAGGUCACAAUAUUGGUGCAUUUUCAUUCAAGUUAAAGAGUGGGGGUAUAGUUAAUAUAUAGAAUUUAGUACAAGAUUGAUAGCAGUCAGUACUGAUUUAAUCCUCCGAGAAAUAAGAAUAUAAAAAAAGUGCACAUAUCUGUGUUAAUGUCUAAGAGUAUUCACUGUUGGGUUAUGGAUGUAUUGAAUCGAAUCGCUCGAUGCGGACAGAAGCCCAUUUUAAAAGCUGGUGAGCUAGAGUUGAACACAAGAUUCUGCAUACAUAAUAUUAGACGUACAAAGUCUCUGUUCGGAAAUUCAGUGCGUGUUGAGUUGGACAAUUAUGCAGUGUUUCUGCCGAGAAGAAUAAGUGAUUAUUUGACUGAGGAGAAAAUUGAUGAGUUAUUACUAGAUCCACGUCCACUAUAUUUAAUAUGUUUGGGAAAAGAAGAUGCUAGAAACCCGUCAUCUGCACAUUGUUUUGAGUUUCAACGUGUUGAUAAUGAAAUAUUAGUUAACGAGGGUGCCGAAGAGUAGGAUGAAAUUAUCGGAAAAAGACUUAUGUGUGUGAAGUAGUGUGCGUUUUGUGCUAGUGAUAGUUUCUUAAAAUAAAUGAAUAAAAAUCAUGGGUCUAGACGAUGGACAGUAUGAAAAAUGUCUAUACGAGUGUUUUGAUAAAAGGCUGUUAUCAUCAGUGUGAGGAAAUUUUAUGGGCGAAGGUUAGUGCAUGGGCGCGCGCUUGCAGUCAGAUAAACCUUUAAAUCGAAAUGUUGUGGAACAGCUUGCAUUGUUGAUAUAAGUUAGGAAAGAGUAUUAAAAAAUGUUUAGACAAAGAAUUUUUUGUUUCAACCCUCGCGAAGGGGCUGAAAAGACAUUUUAGCUAAAAAUUUGCAAACACCUAAAAUUGGACACAUUUUGCGUUUACAUACUCAUAUCUUCCUUCUGGAUAAAGCUAGAAACUCCGUUUUUUUUGCAAACAAAUUUUCAAUAAAUGCAGAUUUAUACGUAGUUUAACAAGGUUGAGUUUUGAUAAAGGGAAACCAAAAAAGUUACAUUUUCUUGUAACGUUCCAUAAUUGUGUAGUGAAAUUUUCGAGAUGCGAGAAAGUUUUUUAAUUUAAAAGAUAGACUCCCACAUAAUCGAGACGAAAUAAAGCUAAUACUUGAAAUAAAUUUUUGGUGCAAGAAUCAUUUCGUUAUCUGUAAGACUCACCAAGUCAUUGCAAUUUAAAAUUACUGCAAAAUGCGCCUGAGGUGAAACCGAACCGUAUUUCCCUCUGAAGCGUGUUCAUCGCCUUUGAUAACAUUUCGAGAGCUAAAAAUCGUAAUUCGUAAAUAAUUAAAAAAUAAUUAAUGUCACUUAUCUAUUAAUAUUAUACCUUUACUUUUAACCGCCCUAACUCUCUGUUAAUUUUAAUAAUAUCUAAAAAGUCAAAAGAACAUUUUUAUCUCAUGUACUUAUUUAAAAAGCAUAAAAGUGACCCAGUAGAACUAGAUUACGAAAUUGUAAUUCAAUUCAAAGUAUUCUUUGGUGUGACAUUAAUAUUUUUUUAAUUAUUUACCAUUUUUAACCCUUGAAGUGUUUUCAACCACAGCACGUUUCAAAGGGAAAUACGCUGCGAUUUCACCUCGAGCACAUUUUGUAGAUAACUAAAUAAUCCUUCUUUAAAGUCCUUUUUAAAAAAAUAUACAAAUCGUAACGUUUCUGACGAAUCAACAAUUGUAGUUACACGCUGGGGUACUUGGUUAGAAGCAAAUGUCUAAAAAUUUUAAUCAAUUAAAAUCAUUUGUUUAUUGCUUUAAACGACGAUGCACAAAGCAUUAAAUAAUGUAAAACUUUAGUUUUAACCACAAAUUUAGUUUCUCAACUUAAUUUUAUUGAAAACAAUUUUUCAAAUAUUCCAAGUACGAUCAAAUUUCUAGAAACGUAAAAUUUUAAAUUAUCCAUUACAGUUGAGAAAUUUGAGUCUACGUUGAUAGAGUUAAAUUCUGUAGAAUGGUCAUUACAAAAUAAAUUAAAUGCAUUUCAGAGAAAAUGAUUAAAAUAUUUUUAUUUAGUUUUUAAUUUUAAUUUCCACUGAAUUAAAACGCAACAUUUUCAAAAUGUAAUAGUGACUUACGCUCCCCUGUAUUGAACAUCUUCAUUGGUGUCCAUGUAAGAUUGAGGAAAUGAUGAAGUUAUUUUUUAACGAUUAUGUCAAAUUAAGUGCCUUUUUUUUAAAUUGAUUCAGAAAAUAAUCUCAACAAAUAUACCGCAGUCUUAAUAAAUUAGCGAUUAUUUUAUUGCCACAAUUUUUCUUGGGUACUCCGUAAUUAUAAUAAAACAAUAAUAUUUAUGUUUUAAUUAGAUUUUUCUAAGCGACCGGUAACAUUAAUUGUAUAAACCCCAAGUAAACUACGCCAAUGUACGCGCUGUAACGGACCAUUUCAUCGACAAAUAUGAACAUCGCGAGAGCACUACGACGAGUCAACUGAUCGGUUGUGGCCUCAUGGCCAUCCCAUAAAAUUUCCUCACACUGGUUAUCAUAUAAGAACUGGGUACAUUCAUACCCAUCUCCAUGGAGUUUAGCAAAAGCGGGAUUGAUUUAUAUUCAAAUAUCUGAUUGUACCCAGUGUUUUGUUUGUGGAGUAAUAAUUUCACGAUGGGAAAAAAGUGAUGAUGCGUUUAUGGAGCAUAAAAAACAUUCUCCAAAAUGUGGAUAUGUGAAAUUGCUUUCCACAGACAAAACGACAAUUCAAAAAUUCAAAUUAGUUACUAGUAUAAACUUAUUUUUAGUCUGAUUUCGUAAUUUCGUAUUUAAAUCAAUAUAUGGUUUGAGCCAUGACGAUUGAUUGAAUUUUAGUACUCUAUGAAUUUUUGUCAAUUCCAGUCCAUUUUGUAGGGCUUGUUUUUUUCGAUAGUGUAUUAUGUAGUUUGUUUUAGCACAUAGAUUUGGAAUGAGUUUAGCACAUUUUCCGUUUGGUGGAAUUAAAUUUUCAGGUAGAAAUGGCAUAUCAUUAUGAGAGUUGUGUAAAUGAUGAGGAUAAGAGAUAUCUACUUAAAGGACAUAACCUUCAGGUGUGGUAUCAGUCAAAUCCAUGAUACUAAGUGAAUUAAUUUCGUCUUGCGUUAACCAAGUAAAUCCAGCUAAAAGCAGUACUUCACUCAUAGCCCAACCAUAGAGAUUUGUUGCAUCGAGAUAUAAAAUAUUUUGUCAAUGGUGUUUGGCUCGGUCACUAAAGACUAAUGCAUAUGCGGUGGUUCCCUCACUUAUACCGGUGUCUGUAUCAAAUUCAAUUCUCAGUGCAAUGGACUGUGUUUGUAAACCAGUUUUUUGCAUCGAACAAUCAAUUACGAUUAGUGGAUAACUGUCGAAAAACUAUGUAGGUGUAAUGUGUGUUUCUUUUUUAUCUGUAUAAUAGUAUCGGGAUCUAAAGUUUGUAAACAUUUCAUAUAAUAUACCGAAAUGGUGUUUUUUAUAUGAAAUAUUUAAAUUUUCAUAAGGAUAUCGUUCAUUAUUUAGAAAUACUCUCAUAUUGGCUAUAUCGCCUCUAUCAAAUUUACUCAUAUUUUUAUCAAGUUGUCCUUCUCUAUUGCUUUAAAGGCCAAAGAUAAUAUAACGAGGUGUUUCAAAUUUUGUAGAGAUUUUCACAGACCAACUACACUUUGUAGUAUUUGGAAAGAGUGGCAGCAAAUGAAGUUCCCUGCUUCUGUACGGUACUGCAAUUUCUUUAUCUUUUUCAAUGGUUUUUGUCAAUUUAACCUCUUCCUUUAAACCGGGCACAAUAUGUGGAACUAGCCAUGCAAUUUUAUCAAUUACAACUCGUGCUUUCUCAUUUGUUGCACAAAUUAAUGCAUUGACAUCACUAUUACUACGAAUUAAUAUUAACUCUUGCGGUAUGUUUAGCAUUAUAUUUUUAUAAUGCAAAUCCUAAUAGUCGAUUUAAUGAGAUACAUUAAAUAUCCAUCUAUACGUUUAGUGCCAGAUUUUUCAUAGUUGUUGUAAUACCUGGCUUUGUGUUUGUAUCUACAGUUACUCCACUUACUUCAUACCGUAUUUCACUAAACAAAAAAGCGACACCAUUAUUUACAAACUUGGUUUCUGUUGCUGGUACAGUUUUAUUGGUUGUAGCGUCGGUUUUAACCAAUUAUCCCUCAAUUAAAAUUAAACUAUCACAUGGUAGUGUACACAAAUCUUCUUGUAAAGGAAUUCGAAUUUCAUCCGUGUUUUCAUAUCUGGCUGUAUAUGCCUCAUGACUUUGAAAUUUGUAACCUACCACCAGGGUUGGGAAAUUACGUGUAAUUAAUAUUAAUUACAUUUUAUACAUUACGUGUAGUUUUUGACGUAAUUAAUUGUAGUUAAUCGUAGAUAUAGAAUAACCUCUUUUUAACAAUUCUAACCUCAAAUUUUGCGGUACGUUACGCCGGCUCUUACGUCUUCCAAAAUGCCGGGAAGAAAUUUUCACAGUUUUUGGACGAUUGGAAAGUUUGAUAUAUUAAAACUGAAUGGAAAAGUUGCAGCACGUUGUCUUGUGUGUGAUAAAAUAUUAAAAAAUACUUCGAAACAACGACUGAUGUCGCAUAGGUAUGUAUGCGUUUGUAUUACAUUAAAUAAAUAAAGAACUAGUACUGAAUUAUUGUUUAUUGCAAUGCAGAAAUGUCUGCAAGGAAGAAAAUACAUCCAAAGAAGUGGCCGAAGUGGGUGAAGAGGAUGAAAUCAUAUUGGUAGAAAUAGAAAGUAAGGCUGACGAUAACGAUGAAGAAGAGUCAAAUGAAGUUUCAGUGGAAGAUUCACCAAGUUGUAGCAAUGAACAAUUUAAUGAUCGUGUAAGUGCGGCAUCAACAUUAACAUUACCUACAUCAGAUUUAAACUAUGAUGAAAACAUUUGCAAUACUGAGAGUUCAAAUUUGACUUCAAUAUCAAUAGCAGCUUCACCUUCACCCCGAAUGCUAUCCCCAAUUCCAUCAACUUCAAAAGAAAGCAUACACAAAAUAAUUAACAAGUCAAUAUCUAAAAAAAGCAACAGCAAGCCAAAGGAUACAAUUAAAAAUUUUUUAGACCAUGUUAGCAACAAUCAGAAAAUCGAGAUUAACAAAGCACUUGGCAAAUUUAUUGUAGGUUGUAACAUUCCAUUUCAUGUAGUAGACUCAAUUCAUUUCAAAGACUUUUUGAGAGUGCUUAGACCUGCAUAUCAGCCUCCCUGCCGCAAGACAGUGUCAGGGACCAUUCUAAAUUCAUUAUAUGAUGAAAUAAAUGAAGACGAUCAAAACUCAAUAGGUAAAUUCUCUGUUAUGAUGAUCGAUGGGUGGAAAAAUUCAGCAAAUAACACAAAACAAGUGGUAACAAUUUUGAAGUCAACAAGAAGCGAUAAGUGUAUUUUUCUGGAAGCAUAUGAUGUAACAACAACACCAGAGACGGGAGAAAAGCUAAGUGAAUUGUGUAAUCUAUCUGUUGAACUAGCGAAGACAAAGUUUAAGACUGAAAUUUAUGCUGUCGUUAGCGAUAAUGCAGCAAACAUGUUGAAAAUGGGAAAAUUGACGAGUGAUUUAAUGCAUACUACUUGCAAUAGUCACACAGGAAAUCUUCUUGCCAAAGACUUAAUUUCCAAAGAAUUAUGUUCCAAAGUAAUCACUAUCUUAAAAGAAUUUAAACAUCCUAAUCUCGAAAAGGAGCUGCAAAGUCAGGGAGGAUCAAAGAUAAAAUUAGCUGUCGAUACUCGGUGGUGUACCUAUAGAGACUCAUUUUCUUGCUUGAUCAAAAAUUUAAAAUUUAUGAAAAAACUUGCGGCAGAAGAAACUAUAAAACUUAAACAAGAAAUAAUUCAGUUACUAUUUGACGAUGAGUUCAUCGAUGAAGUUAAAACAACAAUUGAAGUAUCUAACCCGGUUUGCAAAUUAAUUAAUGAGUGUCAGUCUAGCAGCUGCACUAUUGCCGAUGCUUGUGAGAAAUGGACUCAUUUACAACUGCCUGCGGAGUUUGAAGAUGUUUUGAAAAGAAGAAGAGACAUGGCGCUAAAUAUUUACUCUUUAACAUCAAAUUUUCUUCAUCCUCUUUAUAGAGGAAGGUCUUUGAAUCAAACCCAGGUUGAUAUGGUCCAUGACUAUUUGGUAGCUACUUUAAGUGCAGAAGGUUUAAUGAGUUUUCACCAAUUUUGUUCUUCGGAAGAUAUUUUUGAAACCUUAGAACGUAAAAACAUUUGUUGCCCAAAAGUUUUUUGGGGAUUGGCCGAGAGAAAGCACCCAGAGUUGGCUAGUGUAGCUUUAAAACUUAUCAAUAUACCAGCCAGCUCAGCUUCCUUGGAGCGUGUGUUUAGUAAUUGGGCAUUUAUUCACAAUGAUUUGAGAAAUCGUUUGGAUGCUGAUCAUUCGAGAAAAAUAAUGCAUUGUUAUUACUCCCUGAAGAUGCGGGAAAGUAACGAAGUCAGUUAAAAAAGAAACAUUGGUUGUGUUUUUUUCCUCGAGAUUAAUUCUUUUAUUUUGUUUUUUGAGAAUAGACUUUAUUUUGUUUUUUUGAGAAUAGACUUUAUUUAUUUUUUUUUUGAGAAUAGAUUUUAUUUUUUGUUUAUUACUAAUCUGUUUUGCCAAAUAAAGAAAAUAAUAGAAAAUUGUCUUGUUUUACUGUUUACUGACUACAAUUUCUGAUGGUAAAAGAACUUACUUAAUUAAUAAUGAUAUGUAUUUAGUAAUAGAACAUUUUUGAUUCAUUUUUCUCUUCUUGAGAACAAAUAAAUGCUACCAAAUUUUGACGUAAAAAAUAGUGUAAUUUUUCGGUAAUUUAUUUGGAUUGAUGACGUAGAAAAUGUGCAAAAACUACGCGUCGUUAUACUGUAGAACGACGUUUCAAUAUCUACGUCACAACCCUGCCUACCACACCUUCAUCCCCCUCAAUACCCUUCUCAAUAUCGAACAUUUUUUUAUGUGUAUAAUUCAAAUCCUAAUGAUUUUAGAAACAGUUUAUUUUUAUUACUUAAUUGUUGCACGUUUCGUUUCGUACUAACUGUUUUUCUACACUUUUGUUGCUUUUUAUAUGAGUCAGUUCUAAAACUAAUACCCAUUUUCUUCUUUCUUCUGCAAAUGUAAUCCUACUGUUACAGUCUCUUGUUGAAAAUUGACCAACUUUUCAUCUUGAUCUAUUAUUUUAAGUGUAAUAUUUCUGAUAGUUUUAACACUAAUGGGUAGGUAAAUCACAUGAUCUGGUGACUGUACUAUUUUAAAUCCAGGUGGAACGUUUGGAAAAAAUUGAUAAAUUAUGUGUACAGGUUCUCCAUUUUUAAAACUUCCAAUUGUAAUAUUAUAUUCAAUCAUAAUCGAAUUAAGUUUCAUUAUGUCUGCAAUAUUAUCAAAAUCUUUUCCAACAUUUUUCGGAACUAUUUGACUAUUAAAUCCCAACACUGGUCCGAUAGUAUUUGGUUUGGUAAAGUAUUAUUGUUUGCAGUAAUAUAUAAGAGGUCAUUACUGAAUUGUUUUUCAAUUACAUGUUGUAAAUAGUUGUUUAUAUCGGUUAAUUGAUAACAACCGGUCGGUAUUUUAAAUUCGACACCCCUGAAAAAGAAUUUAUUAUUUUCUUGAUCAAUAUUCGGUAUACUGUUGUAGACUUCAAAAUUUGUAACACCCAGUUCAUAGACACCAUCACUAACAUCAAUCGGUGGAUUAAAGUCAGCACUUAGUAUCGCUGAUUUUCCUGUUAAUAUCGAGCGUUCAAAUAAAAACCUUGGCUCAGGAGACUGUGGAAUCUUCUUUUGUUUUUUAAUUUUCCAGCGUAGAAUUUUGACAGUCGAUGGGGCCACUGCCAUUACGAAAUGUCAAUAUUGUCAAACGAAAAUCUUCUUUAAUUUCACACAAAAACCUGCUGAAAGUUAAAUCAAGCACCACAGCAGAAAUGCGCGCAGUAACUCAAGGCAGCCAUAAUUUCAAAAAACCCUCGAUGCAAAU